GAAAAUAGGUUAGUUUCCUGCCCUUUCUCUAGGCAGGUCUGGGAUGAUAUCCUCUCCUGGCUGAGGAUGACGUGCAGGCCACCUGACCAGGACACCUCCCUCAACGAAUGGUGGCUAGCUGUCAAAGAGACGACUCCCAAAUCUCUUUGCAAGGGACUGGCUACCGUGAUGCUGCUGACGGGAUGGAUGAUCUGGAAACAGCGUAACGCAUGUGUCUUCUAUGGGGAUCGACCCUCUGUCCACUUGCUGACCGAGAAAAUCAGAGCCGAGGCAGCGCUCUGGGCUCGAGCUGGGGAUGUCCAUUAA
rnacentral:rRNA from 1 species